rnacentral:rRNA from 1 species
CUGUAAGCCUGUGAAGGUGUACUGUGAGGUAUGCUGGAGGUAUCAGAAGUGCGAAUGCUGACAUAAGUAACGAUAAAGCGGGUGAAAAGCCCGCUCGCCGGAAGACCAAGGGUUCCUGUCCAACGUUAAUCGGGGCAGGGUGAGUCGACCCCUAAGGCGAGGCCGAAAGGCGUAGUCGAUGGGAAACAGGUUAAUAUUCCUGUACUUGGUGUUACUGCGAAGGGGGGACGGAGAAGGCUAUGUUGGCCGGGCGACGGUUGUCCCGGUUUAAGCGUGUAGGCUGGU